AGUGAACGCUGGCGGCAGGCCUAACACAUGCAAGUCGAGCGGCAGCGCGUCCGACCACCCUCGGGUGGUCGGAUGGCGGCGAGCGGCGGACGGGUGAGGAAUGCAUCGGAAUCUGCCUCGUUGUGGGGGAUAACGUAGGGAAACUUACGCUAAUACCGCAUACGACCUACGGGUGAAAGUGGGGGACCUUCGGGCCUCACGCGAUGAGAUGAGCCGAUGCCGGAUUAGCUAGUUGGCGGGGUAAAGGCCCACCAAGGCGACGAUCCGUAGCUGGUCUGAGAGGAUGAUCAGCCACACUGGAACUGAGACACGGUCCAGACUCCUACGGGAGGCAGCAGUCGGGAAUAUUGGACAAUGGGCGCAAGCCUGAUCCAGCAAUACCGCGUGUGUGAAGAAGGCCUGCGGGUUGUAAAGCACUUUCAGUUGGGAAGAUAAUGACGUUACCAACAGAAGAAGCACCGGCUAACUCCGUGCCAGCAGCCGCGGU
rnacentral:rRNA from 1 species